rnacentral:rRNA from 1 species
AGUGAACGCUGGCGGUAGGCCUAACACAUGCAAGUCGAACGGCAGCACAGUAAGAGCUUGCUCUUACGGGUGGCGAGUGGCGGACGGGUGAGGAAUACAUCGGAAUCUACUUUUUCGUGGGGGAUAACGUAGGGAAACUUACGCUAAUACCGCAUACGACCUACGGGUGAAAGCAGGGGAUCUUCGGACCUUGCGCGAUUGAAUGAGCCGAUGUCGGAUUAGCUAGUUGGCGGGGUAAAGGCCCACCAAGGCGACGAUCCGUAGCUGGUCUGAGAGGAUGAUCAGCCACACUGGAACUGAGACACGGUCCAGAAUCCUACGGGAGGCAGCAGUGGGGAAUAUUGGACAAUGGGCGCAAGCCUGAUCCAGCCAUACCGCGUGGGUGAAGAAGGCCUUCGGGUUGUAAAGCCCUUUUGUUGGGAAAGAAAAGCAGCAGGUUAAUACCCCGCUGUUCUGACGGUACCCAAAGAAUAAGCACCGGCUAACUUCGUG